AGUUUGAAGAUAAUUAAUUUUAAAUGAAUCCUGCCCAGUGAAUAAAUUUUUAAAUGGCCGCAGUACCUUGACUGUGCUAAGGUAGCAUAAUCAAUUGGCUUUUAAUUAGAGUCUGGAAUGAAUGGAAUAAUGAAAUAAAGCUGUCUUAAAAAUUAUUUCUAUAAACUUAUUUAUAAGGUGAAAAUACCUUAAAUUUUUAGAAAAAAGACGAGAAGACCCUUAGAGUUUUUAAUAUAUAAAUAAAUUUAAUGUUUAUUAUUUUUUUGUUGGGGCGACAAGUAAACAUUUUAAACUUUACGUUUUUAUAUUACGAUUUUAUUAAAAUAAAAAAAACUACCUUAGGGAUAACAGCAUUAUUUAUUAAUAAGAUUGUGACCUCGAUGUUGGACUAGGAACUUUAUGGCUAGCCGUCAAAUAAGAUUUGUUCUGUUCGAACAAUAUUAUCCU
rnacentral:rRNA from 1 species